CUGCUAAUAUCUCAUAUGGAAAAUAAGAUAAAAAGAAGACAAGUACCAAAACUUAUGGAGAUUAUUGUAGUAACAUGCUUAAAGAUGCACAAGAUAACAGACGUUAUAACAUUAAUGGGGAUAUGAUUUUUCUUAUCAGCUUUCUUUUUCACAUCUCACACUUUACAAUGCGUGACAACAAUUAUCUUCGUAAUACAAAAGAAGGUAGAAAAGGAAGACAUAAUAAAGAAUCACAUACCAGUUCUACUCAAACCUAUACACAAAAUAAGGUGCAUGAUCACUUACUUACUCCAGGA